CUCCAACCUGGAAGAACGAGCAAAACUCUGUCUCAAAAAAAAAAAAAAAGGCUGUUAACAUUUUGGUAUUGGGAGAUUAUAGAAACAAAAUAAUUACAGAGUAUGAUACAUUUCAAAAUCUCAAAGUAUGAAACCUAGAAUAAAAAAUGUUCAGAGAGAUUCCAGCAUGUUCAUAGCAUGUGUACAGAUGGCUUUUAAUGUUAGCUAAAAGUAUUGUAUUGGUAAGUAUUGAUGAUAAGUAUUAACUUAUGUUUGUUUCUUUUCAUGUAGUAAAAGAAUGUGUGGAUCAUUUAAGUAGAGAUGAGGAUGAAGAGAAACUUGUAGCCUCAUUAUGGGGAGCAGAGAGAUGUUUACGAGUUUUAGAAAGUGUAAUUGUGCUUAAUCCUGAAAAUCAAAGCUACUUGAUAGCAUAUAAAGAUUCCCAACUUAUUGUUUCAUCAGCUAAAGCAUUACAGCAUUGUGAAGAACUGAUUCAGCAGUACAACCGCGCUGAGGACAGCAUAUGCUUAGCUGACAGUAAGCCUCUGCCUCACCAGAAUGUAACCAUGUGGGCAAAGCAGUGGAGGACUGCAUGAGGGCCAUCAUUGGGGUGUUGCUCAAUUUAACUAAUGAUAAUGAGUGGGGCAGCACCAAAACAGGACAGCAGGAUGGUCUCAUAGGCACAGCGUUAAACUGUGUGCUUCAGGUUCCAAAGUACCUACCUCAGGAGCAGAGAUUUGAUAUCGAGUGCUGGUUAAGUUGAAAUGACUUUUUCAGGAAGAGUAUUGUAUCUAGUAAGGUGUGCAAAAUGUUCACCUUAGUUUGGGUUUAAGAACCAAUCCUUUAAUAUUGUGGUUGUUUUCAUGAAUUUCCUAAUGAACAUACUUU